rnacentral:rRNA from 1 species
AUUGAACGCUGGCGGAAUGCUUUACACAUGCAAGUCGAACGGCAGCACGGACUUCGGUCUGGUGGCGAGUGGCGAACGGGUGAGUAAUGUAUCGGAACGUGCCCAGUCGUGGGGGAUAACGUAGUGAAAAUUACGCUAAUACCGCAUACGAUCUAUGGAUGAAAGCGGGGGAUCGCAAGACCUCGCGCGAUUGGAGCGGCCGAUAUCAGAUUAGGUAGUUGGUGGGGUAAGGCCCACCAAGCCUACGAUCUGUAGCUGGUCUGAGAGGACGACCAGCCACACUGGAACUGAGACACGGUCCAGACUCCUACGGGAGGCAGCAGUGGGGAAUUUUGGACAAUGGGCGAAAGCCUGAUCCAGCCAUUCCGCGUGCAGGAUGAAGGCCCUCGGGUUGUAAACUGCUUUUGUACAGAACGAAAAGGUUUCUACUAAUACUAGGAGCUCAUGACGGUACUGUAAGAAUAAGCACCGGCUAACUACGUGCCAGCAGCCGCCGUAA